rnacentral:rRNA from 1 species
UACGUGAGGCGCAAGCGUUAUCCGGAAUUAUUGGGCGUAAAGGAGCUCGUAGGCGGUUUGUCGCGAUCUGCCGUGAAAGUCCCGGGGCUUCAAACCUCCGGAUCUGCGGUGGGUACGGGCAGACUAGAGUGGAUGUAGGGGAGGAUGGAAUUCCUGGUGUAGCGGUGAAAUGCGCAGAUAUCAGGAGGAACACCGAUGGCGAAGGCAGGUCUCUGGGCAUAACUGCGCUGAGGAGCGAAAGCUGGGGAGCGAACAGG